GCUGGUGGGGCAGUGGUUAGCACUACCGCCUCACACUAUCGAAGGUUGUGGGUUCGAAUCCGGCCUGGGGCC